rnacentral:rRNA from 1 species
CGAAUGCUGACAUAAGUAACGAUAAAGCGGGUGAAAAGCCCGCUCGCCGGAAGACCAAGGGUUCCUGUCCAACGUUAAUCGGGGCAGGGUGAGUCGACCCCUAAGGCGAGGCCGAAAGGCGUAGUCGAUGGGAAACAGGUUAAUAUUCCUGUACUUGGUGUUACUGCGAAGGGGGGACGGAGAAGGCUAUGUUGGCCGGGCGA